GACGAACGCUGGCGGCGUGCUUAACACAUGCAAGUCGAACGGAAAGGCCCUGCUUUUGUGGGGUGCUCGAGUGGCGAACGGGUGAGUAACACGUGAGUAACCUGCCCUUGACUUUGGGAUAACUUCAGGAAACUGGGGCUAAUACCGGAUAGGAGCUCCUGCUGCAUGGUGGGGGUUGGAAAGUUUCGGCGGUUGGGGAUGGACUCGCGGCUUAUCAGCUUGUUGGUGGGGUAGUGGCUUACCAAGGCUUUGACGGGUAGCCGGCCUGAGAGGGUGACCGGACCCAUUGGGACUGAGAUACGGCCCAGACUCCUACGGGAGGCAGCAGUGGAGAAUAUUGCACAAUGGGCGGAAGCCUGACGCAGCAACGCCGCGUGCGGGAUAACGGCCUUCGGGUUGUAAACCGCUUUCGCCUGUGACGAAGCGUGAGUGACGGUAAUGGGUAAAGAAGCACCGGCUAACUACGUG
rnacentral:rRNA from 1 species